rnacentral:rRNA from 1 species
UAUCAAUAAGCGGAGGAAAAGAAACCAACAGGGAUUGCCCUAGUAACGGCGAGUGAAGCGGCAACAGCUCAAAUUUGAAAUCUGGCUUCGGCCCGAGUUGUAAUUUGCAGAGGAUGUUUAUGGUGCGGUACCUUCCGAGUUCCCUGGAACGGGACGCCACAGAGGGUGAGAGCCCCGUCUGGUUGGAUACUAAACCUGUGUUAAACUCCUUCAACGAGUCGAGUAGUUUGGGAAUGCUGCUCUAAAUGGGAGGUAAAUCUCUUCUAAAGCUAAAUACCGGCCAGAGACCGAUAGCGCACAAGUAGAGUGAUCGAAAGAUGAAAAGCACCUUGAAAAGGGGGUUAAACAGUACGUGAAAUUGUUGAAAGGGAAGCGUUUAUGACCAGACUUGUGUCGUGUGGCUCAUCCGAGGUUCUCCCCGGUGCACUCCACACGGCUCAGGCCAACAUCGGUUCUCGUUGGGGGAUAAGAACAGUAGGAACGUGGCCCCCCUCGGGGGGUGUUAUAGCCUAUUGUACGAUACUCUGACGGGGACCGAGGACCGCGCUUCGGCUAGGAUGUUGGCGUAAUGGUCAUUAGCGACCCGUCUUGAAACACGGACCAAGGAGUCGUCCAUUAGAGCGAGCGUUUGGGUGUAAAACCCGCACGCGUAAUGAAAGUGAAAUUAGGUGAGAGCUUCGGCGCAUCAUCGACCGAUCCUGAAGUUUACGGAUGGAUUUGAGUAAGAGUUUUAACGGACGGACCCGAAAGACAGUGAACUAUGCUUGAAUAGGGUGAAGCCAGAGGAAACUCUGGUGGAGGCUCGCAGCGGUUCUGACGUGCAAAUCGAUCGUCAAAUUUGAGCAUGGGGGCGAAAGACUAAUCGAACUGUCUAGUAGCUGGUUACCGC